ACCACCAUCUUCUGCAUGUGCAACAUUCGCAGCCGGACAGAAACCGCUCCCCGGCGAUGGAGACUGCGGGAAAAAUCCGCCGCGGCGGGAUGGCUUGCUGAAAGCGGCAGCGGCCGCCGGGAGAGAGGCAGAGCGCGCGAGCGGGAGAGGAUAGCAAACAAAUACUAAAGCGAAACCACACAAAAUAAAAAAAAAAAAAAAAAAAAAAAAAAGGGGGAAACCUCUCUUUUUCUCCCCAUUCAUUCCUUUUUUUUUUUUUUUACAUUUUUUUUUUAUUCCUGAUUUUGUGUGUAGCCUUCUCGCCCUCGAUGCCUCUUUGAGCAGCAUCCAGCGAGCGAGCGGGAGAAGGCGAGACAGAGAGGCAGAAGAGAAGAUGAGGAUAAUUUGCAGACAGCUUGUCUUGUUGUUUUCUGGCUUUUGGGGACUAGCAAUGGGAGCUUUUCCUAGCAGCGUGCAAAUAGGUGGUCUCUUCAUCAGGAACACAGAUCAGGAAUAUACUGCUUUUCGAUUAGCAAUCUUUCUUCAUAACACCAGCCCCAAUGCAUCUGAAGCACCUUUUAAUUUGGUUCCUCAUGUAGACAACAUUGAAACAGCUAACAGCUUCGCUGUAACAAAUGCCUUUUGCUCCCAGUAUUCUAGAGGAGUUUUUGCCAUUUUUGGACUAUAUGAUAAGAGAUCAGUACAUACCUUGACCUCAUUCUGCAGCGCCUUGCACAUCUCCCUCAUCACGCCAAGUUUCCCCACGGAGGGUGAGAGUCAGUUUGUGCUGCAGCUGCGGCCAUCCCUGCGGGGAGCCCUCCUGAGCUUGCUGGAUCAUUAUGAAUGGAACCGCUUUGUUUUCCUGUAUGACACAGAUCGAGGUUAUUCAAUACUUCAAGCUAUUAUGGAAAAAGCAGGACAAAAUAGCUGGCAAGUCAGUGCCAUCUGUGUGGAGAAUUUUAACGAUGCCAGCUACAGGCGGCUUUUAGAAGAUCUGGACCGAAGGCAAGAAAAGAAAUUUGUAAUAGACUGUGAGAUAGAGAGGCUUCAGAAUCUCUUAGAACAGAUUGUGAGCGUGGGAAAGCAUGUUAAAGGAUAUCAUUAUAUUGUUGCCAACCUGGGAUUCAAAGAUAUUUCUCUGGAGAGAUUUAUGCAUGGAGGAGCCAAUGUGACUGGAUUUCAGCUAGUAGAUUUCAGCACCCCGAUGGUAACUAAGCUGAUGCAGCGCUGGAAGAAGCUGGACCAGAGAGAAUACCCAGGAUCCGAGACCCCACCAAAGUACACGUCUGCACUGACAUAUGAUGGAGUACUUGUGAUGGCUGAAACUUUCCGUAACCUUAGAAGACAGAAAAUUGAUAUUUCAAGGAGAGGAAAUGCUGGUGAUUGUCUUGCCAACCCUGCAGCCCCAUGGGGUCAAGGAAUUGAUAUGGAGAGGACAUUAAAACAGGUUCGAAUACAAGGAUUGACAGGAAAUGUUCAGUUUGACCACUAUGGUCGCAGAGUCAACUACACCAUGGAUGUCUUUGAGCUGAAAAACACGGGCCCUCGAAAGGUUGGUUAUUGGAAUGACAUGGAUAAAUUAGUUUUGAUUCAGCAUGAACCUACACUUGGAAAUGACACUGCAGCCAUUGAGAAUAGAACAGUAGUUGUCACUACAAUUUUGGAAGCCCCAUAUGUUAUGUUCAAGAAAAACCAUGAUACGUUUGAAGGGAAUGACAAGUUUGAAGGAUAUUGUGUAGAUCUGGCAUCAGAAAUUGCAAAACAUAUUGGUAUCAAGUACAAAAUUGCCAUUGUUCCUGAUGGAAAAUAUGGAGCAAGGGAUCCAGAGACAAAAAUUUGGAAUGGGAUGGUGGGAGAACUUGUUUAUGGGAAAGCAGAGAUUGCUGUUGCGCCUCUGACCAUCACUUUGGUACGAGAAGAGGUCAUUGAUUUUUCUAAGCCUUUUAUGAGUUUGGGGAUAUCCAUUAUGAUCAAAAAGCCCCAGAAAUCUAAACCAGGAGUGUUUUCCUUCUUGGACCCUUUGGCGUAUGAGAUCUGGAUGUGCAUAGUCUUUGCCUACAUUGGUGUCAGUGUGGUCCUCUUCCUAGUUAGCAGGUUUAGUCCGUAUGAGUGGCACACAGAAGAACCAGAGGAUGGGAAAGAAGGACCCAGUGACCAGCCUCCCAAUGAGUUUGGCAUAUUCAACAGCCUCUGGUUUUCCCUGGGUGCCUUUAUGCAACAAGGAUGUGAUAUUUCCCCAAGAUCCCUCUCAGGUCGCAUUGUUGGAGGUGUCUGGUGGUUCUUCACGCUCAUCAUUAUUUCAUCCUACACUGCUAACCUCGCUGCUUUCUUGACUGUUGAGCGAAUGGUCUCACCCAUAGAAAGUGCAGAAGACCUUGCCAAACAAACUGAGAUUGCUUAUGGGACACUGGACUCAGGGUCAACCAAAGAGUUCUUCAGAAGAUCAAAAAUAGCAGUGUAUGAAAAGAUGUGGACCUACAUGAAAUCAGCUGAGCCAUCAGUGUUCACUAGGACUACUGCAGAGGGAGUAGCUCGUGUCCGCAAAUCCAAGGGCAAGUUUGCCUUCCUGCUGGAGUCCACCAUGAAUGAAUACAUUGAGCAACGAAAGCCAUGUGACACCAUGAAAGUGGGAGGAAAUCUGGAUUCCAAAGGCUACGGCGUAGCCACACCGAAGGGUUCUCCAUUAAGAAAUGCUGUUAACCUCGCAGUUUUAAAACUGAAUGAACAAGGCCUCUUGGACAAAUUGAAAAACAAAUGGUGGUACGACAAAGGAGAAUGUGGCAGCGGGGGAGGUGACUCCAAGAACUCCUGUAAACCUUGCCGUUUUGAAACUCAGUGAGGCAGGCGUCUUAGACAAGCUGAAAAACAAAUGGUGGUACGAUAAAGGUGAAUGUGGACCCAAGGACUCUGGAAGUAAGGUCAGUCGCUACAGUUCGGGACCUACUAUCGUGUUCACAGAGCGGUAGAGGAAGUAAUAAACAAAAAUGAAUUAGAAAUAAAAUAAGUAGCUGUAUCCAUAGAGCAAAACAGCUUCGGCCCGUCUUGAGGGGGUCUCACUUUAAUUUAAGGAAGCACUAUUGCAUUUUGAAGUCUUCAGUGAUACAGAUCACCAAACAUCAUCCUACAUGUUCAGAGCAUCUCCUUGAAAAAAUACAAGGCAUGUUUUUUGCAUUUGGGAAAGGCAGGCUGGAUUAGUAGUUUCCUUCCUGCCUGGAGGGGAUGGACUUUUCCCACUGACUGCUUAGGAAAUGUCCCUUCCCAUCUUCUUCUUUUAGAGCUGGCCUACCUCAGCAUUUUUCUGAGAAGGAGGAAUGCUAGUGGAAAGGAUUGCCUUUCACUGCUGCCCAGGAAGAUGGUGUCUGGCUGCCUUUGGGAAUGGCCCUGGCUGCUUGAGGAGCCAAGGAACACAUGAGCUUUGAAGUGAAAGACUUCAAUAAUUAAUCACUUUCUAUAGCUUCCAGUGUUCAUCCUAAUCCAUUCCCAAACAGUAAUCCUGACAGGUCCAGGAAGCAGAGCCUCUUCUAUUUCUCUGUCUCUGGGGACAGACCCAGAAGCAGGUAUUUUCUGAUGGCUGGGAAGCACCACAGUCAGUUCCAGCCCUCAAUCCAGAAAGUCUGACAUUUCUUCACAGUGGCUGAGUCAGUGCCAGCCUGUGCAGCCACAGCUAAAGGGAAAGAGUGACGGGCCCUGCUGCUUGCUGCCUGCACGUCCUGAGAGAUACCCAGGUAAAAGCAGUGUGGGAAGCAAGCUUUGAACACAUUUUGCUUUUUCUGGCAAGUGCUUUGAAGAAAGGAGUGAAAACCAGUUAGGAGGAUGACAGAGUACCUGUAAAUGACAGCUGAGAAAGCCUCAAUCCACCACCUACAUUAGGGCAGGUCUUUCUCAGUUCUGUCUCCUCUUUGUUUGCAAGCACCAUGUUAGUAAGUGCCACCAGAGGAACAGCCAUCUCCAAGAUAUUCAGACUCCUCUUAGCCAUCUAAAAAGACACAGACAAAGCAGAACACAGCUGUAAGCCCAAAUCACCUCUGUACAUCCAUGGAAACUGUUACUGUGCUAAUCUACUGAUUACACAAUAAAUAGUGCCUCCUUAAAUUAAAUAUCCAAAUUUUUUGCAUUCUUCGUAAGUUAAAAUUUCAUAGAGAUUACAAUCAGAAUUUAAGUACUCUCCUUACUUUAGCUAAAGAUUAUAUAGUCUGCAUAAGAAUAAAGCUUUAUAAGUAUCUUAAGGCACCCAAUGUAGCAUAUGGAAGUCAAUCCUGAGAGAGUUCCUUGAGAACUAUGCUAAAAAUACACAGGGAUUUCAAGUAAAAAAAAUGUGAUUCACAACUAAGCAGUAUGGAAGUAUAGAGAAAUGUAGAGUGGUAAAUACAUCCAAAAAGGCAAUUGUUUGUAAAAUUAUAUAUAUUUAAUAAUUUGUUAAAGAAAGCUCUCACUGUUGUCUAAAUUAUCAAUAAUGUAUAAAAUUUUAUAAAUUGCUAUUAAGAAGUAUACUGUUAUUGAGCCUUAGAAGUCCAUGGGCAUGUUCCAGAACUGUAUCUAUAGUAAAAAAAACAAAAACAAAAACAAAAACAAAAAAUACCAUAAUAGGUAAGAGGCAAAUAUAUCACGAUGUGUAUGGUACAGUGUACACUGUCAGAGGAAGUGUUUGUUCAAAGAAAGAAAUUAGGCCUCACAUGUUAUUUUCACCUGUCCUUUAGGUAUCAGAUGCUCAGUCUGGAUCUUUUAAAUUAACAGCAAUGCCUACCACAAGUACAAUUACUGUUUUUUGUAAAGAUCAAGCAGAGUCUUGUCUGAUAUAAAUGGAUUUCUGGAUUCCAAGGCUUCUGAAGAGCUUUACAUAAAUGCAGUUUCAUAUCAGUGCUGAAAUGUCCCCUAAAGAGAGCUAGACAUGUCAUUGCCUAAUUUUCCACUUAAUGGAAGCAGUGCUUUGCAUUAAGCAAGCAAUGACAUCCUGAUAUGUUGGCAAUAAACUUACAAUAUUUUUUAUGCCAACCAGGAAAACUAGUUGCUUAAAAUAUAUUUUAUAGAUCCAGAUAGGUCAAAUUUUGAGAAAGUGUGUAAACAACUGUUGUUAAAUUCAGCUAAACAUUGUUAUUUAUUUCUAUUUCUAAUGUUUUAAUGUGUGGCUUGUGCUUUUGGGCAUCUGUUUUCCAGGGUUAACUGUGUCACUUCUGUUUUCCCAGGACAAGACGAGUGCCUUGAGUCUCAGCAACGUUGCUGGAGUCUUCUACAUUCUGGUUGGAGGCUUGGGCUUGGCAAUGCUGGUGGCUUUGAUAGAGUUCUGUUACAAGUCCAGGGCAGAGGCGAAACGAAUGAAGCUUACCUUUUCUGA